rnacentral:rRNA from 1 species
GACGAACCGUGCGAACGUUAUUCGGAAUCACUGGGCUUAAAGCGCGUGUAGGCGGGCCGGCACGUCGGUCGCUGAAAUCCCCCGGCUCAACCGGGGAAGGGGCGCCGAUACGACCGGCCUGGAGGGGCGUAGGGGGAUCGGGAACUUCCGGUGGAGCGGUGAAAUGCGUAGAUAUCACUAGGAACGCCGGUGGCGAAAGCGCUCGACUGGACCUCUUCUGACGCUGAGGCGCGAAAGCCAGGGGAGCAAACGGG